AUCAGCCUGGACCUCACUGUGUAUUAACGCUGCUGUAUGGCUUUGAGAUUGAAAUUUCUGUCAUGUCUAAUCAGCUUGAAAUGAAGACUUGUGUUGAGUGGCAGCAAUUCACAAUAUAUUCCAUAGAAGAAAUAAAAUAACCUGGAUAAAGGUCAGAAAAUUCCUGUGAUUUGGCAGGAUGGUAUUUUGGGCUCCAUAACAAAGAACGUCUGCACCAAAACCUAGAAGUACUUGGCUCAAUCAAUUUUUCCAUGUAUGCUGUUCAUUUUGUCAAGACAAUUUCUGAAGUUUAAAUUUUCUUCUGAUAACUAUGGUAUUUGCAUAAUACUAAUGCCCAAAGCACACAUUUAAUUUGUGAAUGUGGGUUUUUUUUCAUCAACAUUAUCACCAUUAAUGGUGUUUUCUGUGACUGGCUCUGAAAACUUGAAGGUCUAUCGAUGCAGAACUUCAGGAUUUACCCAAAGCAUGCUGAACUAGUAUUUGAACAAUAAUUGAGGAGAAAUGAAUCUAUGCUUGUUGAAGUGUCCUAAGUAUUUUAGGAAGAAAAAGAUUUAAAAAAACCAAAAAAAAAAAACCCUAUGGUCCUUGUUAGGAGCUCACAAGACUUAUGUACAUUUUUUCAUUUACCAAAAGGAUGUCUGUGGCAGCAGCUCUCUGGCCCUGGAGAGCAACGCACAACUUUUUCAGGAGUUGUCCUGGGGAAGGCUGGGAGAAGAUCAGAGAAAAGAAUGAUAAACAAUUCUUAACUUCACUUGCUGCACCUGUUGUUGUGAACAUGUGGAAUGUGUUAUGGAGAUUUGUUUACCAAAGGGUGGUUUAUUAAUUGGUGAUGGUGUUUAGAUUGAAGGACCAAUUGGGUCCACCUGUAUUGUGGCUGUCUGUAAGGGUGAUGGAUUUCUCAAUAAAUACAGUAUAAUAAAGUGAUUGAUUCAGCCUUCUGAGAA